UACAGAGGUCUCAAGCGUUGUUCGGAUUCAUUGGGCGUAAAGGGUGCGUAGGUGGCGCGCUAAGUCGGGUGUGAAAUCUCGGAGCUUAACUCCGAAAUUGCAUUCGAUACUGGCGUGCUUGAGGACUGGAGAGGAGACUGGAAUUCAUGGUGUAGCAGUGAAAUGCGUAGAGAUCAUGAGGAAGACCAGUGGCGAAGGCGGGUCUCUGGACAGUUCCUGACACUGAGGCACGAAUGCCAGGGGAGCAAACGGG
rnacentral:rRNA from 1 species